CUGUAUCUUAAUGAUAAUACUCCCCUCCCUGACACUUGCCUUUGUUUUUAUUUAUAAUUGUCUCUUCCUUGUGCUGGAUCUCAGUACCUGGGUGCUGAUAUUUUAUUCUCCUCUGCCCAUGAUGUCUGCAGUUUCCCUUCUGUGGAAUUGAGUGUACUAAUGGAUUGUGGGUAAAUCUGAUUGGCAAUGAAACAGAAUCUUGCUUUAAGCUCCGCCCAUUGCCAAAUUGUGUCAAUCUGACUGCUAUGCAUGC